AUUGAACGCUGGCGGCAGGCCUAACACAUGCAAGUCGAACGAGUGGCGGACGGGUGAGUAAUGUCUGGGAAACUGCCUGAUGGAGGGGGAUAACUACUGGAAACGGUAGCUAAUACCGCAUACUAUCGUAUGUGCACAGAGGGGAUGAGCUAGUAGGUGGGGUAACGGCUCACCUAGGCGACGAUCCCUCGCUGGUCUGAGAGGAUGACCAGCCACACUGGAACUGAGACACGGUCCAGACUCCUACGGGAGGCAGCAGUGGGGAAUAUUGCACAAUGGGCGCAAGCCUGAUGCAGCCAUGCCGCGUGUAUGAAGAAGGCCUUCGGGUUGUAAAGUACUUUCAGCGGGGAGGCGUUACCGGCAGAAGAAGCACCGGCUAACUCCGUGCCAGCAGCCGCGGUAAUUC
rnacentral:rRNA from 1 species